AGGUAAAAAAGAAAGCAGCAGUGAUUAUAUUCCUUUAUUUUUUUUUCUCAAACGCUCUUGACACUUGAGUUAUAUAGGAGAGAAAAAAAUUAAAGCUGCAGAGGGGAUAGGAUAAGACCAAUCUCGAUUCUUCCUCCCCAGUCCCCACCAGUGCACUGCAUCUAGCCACUUCCUUUUCCCCUUUUGCAGCUGCCCAUGGAGGGAGCAGCGCAACCUUGGCCUCGUCCCCUGCGAGCCGCGGCAGUGACACCACCCGGAGAGCAGCGCCCUCAGCCUCGUCGAGCAGCGGGAGAGGCGACAGCCUCAGCACCGGUGCGAGCAGCAGCCCCGACGAGUAGCGACCUCGGCCUCGUCGAGCGGGAGAGGCAAUGGCCUCGGCACAGGCGGCGGCGACUCCGGUGAGCAGCGGCCUCAGCGCGACGGCGGUGGCGCUCCUCCGGAUCCAUGCUCUCAGGCGCAACGACAGUGAGCAGGGAGGGAGCAGCUCGUCCAUUGCGGCAGAUCGGCAGUGACCUCGAUGGAUCGGUAAUGGAUGUACGCUGACCGGUGGUCCAGAGAGUUUAUCGAGGGCGUGUAUUAUUUUUUUUGAGAGUGGCCGAAGCUAACAAGCGUAACGGUUUUAUUCGUUGUCCAUGCAAUAAGUGUAAGAACCAGAAGGAGUAUUCUACAUCCAGGACUAUUCAUUUCCACUUGUUUGAGUCGGGGUUCAUGUCAAGCUAUAAUUGUUGGACAUCCUACGGUGAGCAAGGGGUUGAAAUGGAAGAAGAUGAAGCGGAGGACGAGAACAUUCCCGACUGGGCUCAGUACGCUAGAUUUGAAGGAAAUCAAGAUUUACAUUAUGCAAUUAAUUAAAAUACAAAUUUCACCAUCUUCUUUAUGGUGAUGUUGAAGAAAAUAAAGACCCAUGAAAAUCAAGGUGAAAUCUGCACUGAUCUGCUAUAUGGUAGGUCUAACAUCACCGCAUUAUCUAGUUUUGGAGUGGCUUGACGAAGUAGUCAUGGUUGGGACGUUGGGACUGGCUCGUUUUGGUCAUGAGACCUUCACAGAUGGGAACACGUGGUCGACAAACGAACACCGAAUCGGAAACACCUGCAUGAACGAUUUGAGUUGCAUGUAAUGUUGCUUUGUAGUUGCACGAAUCUCAGGAACGUGUUUUCAUCAGUCAUUUCAUUGAAUUGAUCUCUAUUUUGAUGAGCAGCGACAACGAAAUUUGAAUGA